UUACACAGGUGCUGCAUGGCUGUCGUCAGCUCGUGUCGUGAGAUGUCGGUUAAGUCCGCUAACGAGCGCAACCCUCACUGUGUGUUACAGUGUGUCACACGGGACUGCCGGUUUUAAGCCGGAGGAAGGCGAGGAUGACGUCAAGUCAGCAUGGCCUUUAUAUCUUGGGCUACACACACGCUACAAUGGUCUGUACAAUAGGUUGCCAAGCCGCGAGGCGGAGCCAAUCCUUAAAGCAGGCCUCAGUUCAGAUUGCAGGCUGCAACCCGCCUGCAUGAAGAUGGAGUUGCUAGUAACCGCAGGUCAGCUAUACUGCGGUGAAUACGUUCCCGGGUCUU
rnacentral:rRNA from 1 species